GUGAGCAGCGGCUUCCGAGAAAACGGCUCGAGCAGCGACAACCCGUCUUCUCCCGAGUUUUUCAUUUCAUGAGCUGGUGUUCAUUUUCUGUGUGUGUGUUUUAUUUUGUUUGGAUUUUUUUUUUUUAAUUUUACUUUUUGGAGCUUGCUGUGUUGCCCUUUUUUUCCCCCAACCUCCACCCUCACUCCCUCUCCACCCAUCUAAAAGAACAAAAAAAAAAAAACCUGAGUUUUUUUUUUCCUCCUCCUGAGUUCUUCAUGUAAGAUUGAGCUUGCAAAGGAAAAAAAAAAUGUGAAAUGUUAUAGACUUGCAGCGUGCUGAGUUCCAUCGGGUUUUUUUUAGCAUUGUUAUGCUAAAAUAGAGAAAAAAAUCCACAUGAACCUGCCACAAUCAAGCCUGCAUCAACCUUCUGGGUGUGACUCGUGAGUUUUGGCCUUGUGAUGGCAAAUCUGAGAGUUUAGUCUGCCAUAAAAAACUCAUUCUCAUCUCAUGCAUUAUUAUGCUUGCUACUUUGUCUUAGCAACAAUGAACUAUAACUGUUUCAAAGACUUUAUGGAAAAGAGACAUUAUAUUAAUAAAAAAAAAGCCUGCAUGCUGGACAUGUAUGGUAUAAUUAUUUUUUUUUCUUUUUUUUCUUUUGGCUUGGAAAUGGACGUUCGAAGACUUAUAGCAUGGCAUUCAUACUUUUGUUUUAUUGCCUCAUGACUUUUUUGAGUUCAGAACAAAAAGUGCAACCCUAGAACCUUCUUCCCAUGAAAGUUUCCAUCUGCUCCAAAACUGCUUUGAGUUACUCAGAACUUCAGCCUCCCAUUGUAAAUGCACUGAAGGCAUUCCUUGUCAAUGAUGCCAGAAUGGGUUAAAAAUUUAACAUGGCAAACGUUAAAAAACUCGUAAUGUUUUCUUUUUAAUAAGAAUGACACCCCACUUGGGGGACUAAAAUUGUGCUGUUGCCGAAAGCAGUCUAAAAUUUAUUUUUUAAGAAAAGAAAUCUGCCCCAUUAUUUUUGGUUUGUUUUAUUUUUAUUUUAUUUUUCUUUUUUUUUGGCUUUUGGUCAUUGUCAAACGUGGAAUGCUAUGGGUUUCUAGUAUAUAAUUUAAUUCUAGUUUUUAUAAUCUGUUAGCCCAGUUAAAAUGUAUGCUACAGAUAAAGGAAUGUUAUAGAUAAAUUUGAAAGAGUUAGGUCUGUUUAGCUGUAGAUUUUUUAAAAGAUUGAUGCACUAAAUUGUUUACUGUUGUGAUGUUAAGGGGGGUAGAGUUUGCAAGGGGACUGUUUAAAAAAGUAGCUUAUACAGCAUGUGCUUGCAACUUAAAUAUAAGUUGGGUAUGUGUAGUCUUUGCUAUACCACUGACUGUAUUGAAAACCAAAGUAUUAAAAGGGGAGACACCCCGUUUAUAUCUGUAGGGGUAUUUUACAUUCAAAAUGUAUGUUUUUUUUUUUUCAAAAUUAAAGUAUUUGGGACUGAAUUGCACUAAGAUAUAACCUGCAAGCAUAUAAUACAAAAAAAAUUUGCAAAACUGUUUAGAACGCUAAUAAAAUUUAUGCAGUUAUAAAAAUGGCAUUACUGCACAGUUUUAAGAUGAUGCAGAUUUUUUUACAGUUGUAUUGUGGUGCAGAACUGGAUUUUCUGUAACUUAAAAAAAAAAUCCACAGUUUUAAAGGCAAUAAUCAGUAAAUGUUAUUUUCAGGGACUGACAUCCUGUCUUUAAAAAAAAAAAUGAAAAGUAAAUCUUACCACAAUAAAUAUAAAAAAAUCUU